rnacentral:rRNA from 1 species
AUUGAACGCUGGCGGCAGGCCUAACACAUGCAAGUCGAACGAGGGGCGGACGGGUGAGUAGUGUCGGGGAAACUGCGUGAUGGAGGGGGAAAAAUAGGGGAAACGUUAGCAAAUACCGCAUACCAUCGGAUGUGCCCAGAUGGGAUUAGCUAGUAGGUGGGGUAACGGCUCACCUAGGCGACGAUCCCUAGCUGGUCCGAGAGGAUGAUCAGCCACACUGGAACUGAGACACGGUCCAGACUCCUACGGGAGGCAGCAGUGGGGAAUAUUGCACAAUGGGCGCAAGCCUGAUGCAGCCAUGCCGCGUGUAUGAAGAAGGCCUUCGGGUUGUAAAGUACUUUCAGCGGGGAGGCGUUACCCGCAGAAGAAGCACCGGCUAACUCCGUGCCAGCAGCCGCGGUAAUAC